CGAACGGGUGAGUAAUGCGUGACCAACCUGCCCCAUGCUCCAGAAUAGCUCUUGGAAACGGGUGGUAAUGCUGGAUGCUCCAACUUGACGCAUGUCUUGUUGGGAAAGUGUUUAGUGGCAUGGGAUGGGGUCGCGUCCUAUCAGCUUGUAGGCGGGGUAAUGGCCCACCUAGGCUUCGACGGGUAGCCGGCCUGAGAGGGCGGACGGCCACAUUGGGACUGAGAUACGGCCCAGACUCCUACGGAGGCAGCAGUU
rnacentral:rRNA from 1 species